rnacentral:rRNA from 1 species
UACGUAGGUGACAAGCGUUGUCCGGAUUUACUGGGCGUAAAGAGCGCGCAGGCGGUCGUUCAAGUCGAGUGUGAAAGCCCCCGGCUCAACUGGGGAGGGUCACUCGAUACUGAUCGACUCGAAGGCAGGAGAGGGAAGCGGAAUUCCCGGUGUAGUGGUGAAAUGCGUAGAUAUCGGGAGGAACACCAGUAGCGAAGGCGGCACUCUGGGCCGGUACUGACGCUGAGGAGCGAAAGCGUGGGGAGCGAACAGG